rnacentral:lncRNA from 1 species
CGAGAAUUUCCAAAACACACGUUUAGCUCGUGAUUGGAGCGAUGCUGAGCUCCAACAUCCCCCUCGCUGGUGACUCUCAACUCGUUUCCUGAAAUUGCUCCAUCGAUAGGAAAAUCGACGAUUCCAACACCAUCCAAGCGCUCAAGUGAGGUAACGGACUUAGUAGGAAGGCUUGGCUCCACCAUCCAAGCGCUCAAGAGAGGUAACGUACUUAGUAGGAAGACUUGGCUCCACCAGCUGGAAAGUAUUGAAAGGUGGAUGGUGAACAUGGCGAAUCUGCCGUUGUUUAUUUUGGGGAAGAUCUGUAAAAAAAUUUCAACGGUUUUUCGAUCCUUUAAGAAUGCGUCUCAGAGACAACUUUUGGCGCGGGAGGACCAUAUUCUGUUUACGGAUGGGAACAUGAACAGAGCUUGAAGAGGGAUUAAUCUCAACGAUGUGGGAGCUAGGAACCGCUGUGGAGUUGCUUUGAGAAUUAAGGGGAACCUUGGAAGGUAUGGGAGUCCAAGUUUGAGCUUUAUGUGUCGUGCUUUAUUUAAUAAUUUUUCCAUUUAUAUAAUACAGUAAUUUUAGUUUCAAUUGAUCAGACCGGUCAUGUCGUCCAUCAUCAUCGCCAAUGAAACGUCGGCCACCUUGCGCUGGUGUAGUCCGUGCCACAUCUCUCGACCGG